UUUUGGUCCAAUUCAAAGGCACGUGAAAUAUGUUGUCAUUCUUCCACUGUUCACCUGAUUUGGAUCUAAAUGCCCUCAAACUAAAGCUGAAAGUCUGCACUCAAAGCGGUCCGUGUACGGAUCUGGUAAUUGGAUUUUCCGUUCUGAAACGGGUAUUGAAAAACAAAAAAUGAGUGGUUAUUUGAUUUUCGUUUUAAAAUACAAAAAUUAAAAUUGAAAUACAAGGUGUUUUUCCUUUUCACGAUCAAAAAGGGAUAUACGAUUUUUUAAAAAUGCUUUGAAUUUCGUUUUAUAUUUAGAAUGACAAGAAAGUAAAAUCGGUAAGAGACAGAAACGAAAAAGGUCUGUUUUUUCAUUUUCUGAGACCGGAAGUGGUCAUCAGCAAGUGUGGAGCCAAACAGAGUAUGGUGGAUAGACUCUAUAUAAUUUUUUAUUCGUUAGUUUUCAUGGUCAAAAUGAGAGAUCAGGUGGCCGAUCUUAAAAUAAAUCAAUAUUAAUUUUUUUUUUAUAGAGCGUUAAAGUUUUGCGAAGCCAGGGGGCGGGACUACUUGAUUGACAGUCCGGUCCGGAAUGAUUGACAGGUCCUAUGGAGGAGGCAGCAGAGACUCUGCUCUCCUCCUUUGGAUUAAUUCUGAUAUAAUAAUUGUUGGUUUAUUUAUCGGUGGAGCAGCAGAACAUUUUCCACAGACAGUUUUCCUGCCUGUUGGCUUGUUUUAACCAGUUUUCUACCUUCGGCUGAUUCUACCAGCAGACACUGAAAGGACUCUAAUAGUUUGAGUGAAAGCAGCAGUUCCUCCUUAAGGUCAGAGAUUGCAGCAUCUGAGGGCCUCUUCAAAAGAAGACGUAGCUGAUGAAGGCAUUCUGGACCACGACCAAGCAGCCUUGAGAUCUUAGGCAGCGUCUCCCUUGGUUCAAAGGUCCCUCUCUAUCUCCCCACACAUCCACCAACCACUGGAACACAUCUCCAAAGUUCUGCUGGGCCAGCUCAGCUUCCCCUCAGAAGAAGUGCUGCCACCUGCCAGAUGAAGGAGCCUUUUGAGAGGCAGCUGGCAUCAUGAUUGGACUGUACUUUGGUCUGUUCCAAUCCAGCUUCAGCUCCAGAGACGGCAGGCAGGACGAGUCAACGGAGGCCUGGUGGACGAAGGCAUGCAGCUGAGUACAAUCCAGAAAACAGCAGAGGAGGAGUGCAGCAGCCCAGGGCCAGAACAAACAGAGUAACAUAGUAUGUCUCUUAGAAAACAUCAUAGUUAUAGCCUUUGGUAUGAAAAAACGCCAUGAUAUACAUCGUAUAUUGUACAAAUAACAAGUCAAAGGAAAGAGACGUACAUUGUAGAAUUGUAGUAAUUGUGGGCUGACUGAUUUACUGAUUAUCAGUAUUUUAUUUUUUACUGAUUUACGGUAAUAAAUACAUUUAAAAAUGCUGCUACUUUGGCUCUGAACCUUUAUCUACCUGUGGUCGCUCUGUCUUCUGGAGUGAUUUGAUUGGUUGUACGUAACGAAUAAAACUCCUUUAACUUAACAUCUGUAAACAAAACAAAAACGUAUCAACAAAGUUUCCUGUUAGAGUUUGUGCUCUUCUAAGUUUAACUCCAAGAUUAUAAAUACUUUCAUUUACUGCAAAUUAAUAUCGACUCCAAAUGUCUCACUAAUAAUCAUUAUCAGCCUUAAAAACACACAAAACACCCCUCUAUACUCGACCACACUUAGUACAGUCCAGUUCCCCCUCUAUAAAUCUGCUUGGAAUCGUCCACUUCCUGUUUGUCAAAGUGGCCUUCUACCUGGACAGGUUUUGUUGGAGCUCAUGCAACAAACAUUUUGGAUAACUGCACUUUAAUAUGGAUGGAUGACACUGAAUUAGAGUCUGUUUUAAUGAGACUGAGUUAAGAUGUGUAGCUGUCAUUAA